GUCGACAGAGAGGAGAGUCGGGGGGACUGAGAUCGGGGUCAUAUUCAUUAUGGCACAUCAUAGCAAAACAGAAUACGAAAAACAAACGUUUCUUAUUGGACAACUUCAGGCCGUUUUCGAUCGGUUUUCUUCCAUGCGAUGCCAAAUGAACACAACCCAGGAGUGUCAGUCUGUGUGUAAUGUGUCAGGUGUGAGAUCUGUAUUUGAGACCAGAAGAUACAGCCUUUUAUUCUCUGGUAGUGUUAAAGGAUUAGUUAACCAGGUUUACAUUUCCUCAGGCUUGUUCAACAUUACAGGCCGACUGAUCUACACAGACCCUUGCAUCAUAAAUAUCUACCUCAUUGUUCAUUUGUAGAGGAGUCAAGUCACAUUAGGGUUUUGACCCUCGAGAACACGGCCCUCCUCCUAUUCAGUCCCUCUGCUCUGGGCUCAGUUCCUCCUCUCUUCUCUCCCUUUGGUCUUUUUCCCUAAGUGCUACUUUGUUUAUGGAUUAGAAAUUGCUUCCUUCCUUCCUCCGGCAGCUCGCCCCCCUGGGGCCAGUGUGUGUGUGUUGUAUUUACCACGGGGGUGACCUGUAAACCCAUAUAUGAUGGAAGUAAUAAUGCUCCCGUCUCUCUCCUGUCCCAUUCUACUUUGGACACCAUUUUGAGAUCUCUGGGUCCACCUCAAGUCGUAAGUGGUUUCUUUUUAAUAAUAUAGAUGAUGCGCCUCACUCUCUUCUCUCGCUCUCCGUUGGAGAAUGAACAGUAUGAUGUCCGAUGUUUCCGUGGUCGGAGGAGAUGGGAAGGUCACCGUCUGCUGUUAACCUUUCGGUCUGUUUUGUCCUUCAGAAGAAAGAGCCAGACAACAAGAACUUACUUAUAAAUCAAUUGACUUUAUUUAAAAUCAGCGACGUCAGGCAGUUUACACUAUGAACAAUAAGAAAAUAAAAAGACAGAAACAUAAAAUAAAAAGAUGAAAGAUCCAGAUAACAACCACUGCUCUUGGCACCGGAUAGAACAUUAUGAAAACAACUAAUAUUAUACUAGGCUUGUGUGGGGGGGGGGGGGGGGGUAAUCAUGUUGUGAUGGUGAGAGCCGGACUAGUGAACUUAAAUACCAGCUUUUUACUUCGUCUCAGAGGACAUGUUCCAGGCUGAUUACGCUGUUUAACCUAUCAGCUGACCACAUCUAGGUCCAGUUAACCAGACAGAUUAACCCUUCAGUGUCUGGAUAGGUGCUGACCACAUCUAGGUCCAGUUAACCAGACAGAUUAACCCUUCAGUGUCUGGAUAGGUGCUGACCACAUCUAGGUCCAGUUAACCAGACAGAUUAACCCUUCAGUGGCUGGAUAGGUGCUGACCACAUCUAGGUCCAGUUAACCAGACAGAUUAACCCUUCAGUGUCUGGAUAGGUGCUGACCACAUCUAGGUCCAGUUAACCAGACAGAUUAACCCUUCAGUGUCUGGAUAGGUGCUGACCACAUCUAGGUCCAGCUAACCAGACAGAUUAACCCUUCAGUGGCUGGAUAGGUGCUGACCACAUCUAGGUCCAGCUAACCAGACAGAUUAACCCUUCAGUGUCUGGAUAGGUGCUGACCACAUCUAGGUCCAGUUAACCAGACAGAUUAACCCUUCAGUGUCUGGAUAGGUGCUGACCACAUCUAGGUCCAGCUAACCAGACAGAUUAACCCUUCAGUGUCUGGAUAGGUGCUGACCACAUCUAGGUCCAGUUAACCGGACAGAUUAACCCUUCAGUGUCUGGAUAGGUACUGACCACAUCUAGGUCCAGUUAACCAGACAGAUUAACCCUUCAGUGGCUGGAUAGGUGCUGACCACAUCUAGGUCCAGUUAACCAGACAGAUUAAACCUUCAGUGUCUGGAUAGGUGCUGACCACAUCUAGGUCCAGUUAACCAGACAGAUUAAACCUUCAGUGUCUGGAUAGGUGCUGACCACAUCUAGGUCCAGUUAACCGGACAGAUUUAAGUCUGGUACCUGUUUCAAAAUGUAUUCCAAUGAAAAAUCUCCAUGGAGAAUGUUUAGUCCAGGACAAAUCUGUGUCUGGGAAACAGAUACCAUAGGAUGUAGCAAUCUGAUACCCGACGGUGAAGUCCAUGACGUGGCAUAGAACCAUUGGUUGUGGUGUGCAGCUCGACUGGAACAGACCUAAUAAGCACAACUUUCAGAUUGAACCAUGUUUUAUAUAUCAUGACCCUCACACAACCCCACUCCUGAACCCCCGACCUUUGAACCCCACUACCGUCACUAAGGUCAGGGGGUCAUGUCCCUUAUAAUCAUCUUCACUAUCAUCAUCAUCAUCAAUUCUUCAUUAAAAACAAGGAGGAAUUUUCAUAUGACAUAUGCUUCGUUUUAAAAUGGUCGUUCACCACAAAAAAAUAAAAUUAUGUAAAAAAAAAA